AUUUGUUGAGGAACUUUAGAGGCAGAAUACAAACUUUUCACUUAAAAAACGUUUUUAAAUGGCUUGGGAGAGAAGGAUUUGAUAAAUGGGAAUUUAAAUGUUGUUCAUGCUUCUUAUUUUAAAAGUGCUUCAAAUCCUUCAAUAAGGUUCUGAAAAGUUGUCCGGUUAGAUGGUUGGAAUUCCCAGCAUUUUCUCAUAAGCUGAUAAACCUAUGAAAAAUAAAAGCAAGAACAGUAUGAAUAAUAUCAGAUUUGAGAGAUUCUAAAAGAACAAUAAGAGGCUGGAAAGUUGGCUUGGUGGAUCACGUACUUGCCCCACGAGUGUAACUUAAAGUUCAGAGCAUGACACACAGUUUAAAGGCGAGGCGUGGGUAGCAGCUGUAAGGCAGACUGGCCAGCCUCGCAAAGCCAGAGGGACUAACUCCAGGGAGACCCUGCCUCAGCAAACAAAGCCGGGGCAACCAAGCAGACACAUCCCUCAGUCUCUGGCAUCCAUAAGCAUCCACACAUUCAAAAACACAAAAUUAUCAAGAAUACGCUAGAAACUGCUGUCCUUUAACAAGACUAAACAACUGAGUAUUUGAGCAACUUAAAAUGCAGAAAAUAAUAGUUCAUAAAUGGUAUUAUCAUUUGUUUAACUCACAGGUUAACUGAUUUUCAACAAAAUCCAGGUCACUAUUGUGACCCUGUGAGAGGGGCAGGAAAGUUACUAAUCUGCCUACCCCCUUCACCACCACUGCACCUGCCUCUGACCAGACAGUCCUGAGUAUCUAUGGAGGCUUGAUCCAGUUUAGAAUCUAGAAAACUGAAAAUGCUAGUGAGUGGGGUAAAUGUCUUCAGGCAAUGGUAAGACCUCAUCACAUGUGCUCUUCUGGGAAGGCAGACAUGCACGGUAUGGAGGCCACAGCUCCCUGAGAGGAGCCUUGCUUGAGCAGCAUAUCAUCCCCCGCAGGAGGGAUUUCUCUCAUGUCUUACCCAAGUGGAUGCUGUAAAUGGAACCUAGGACCUCAGAAAGAAUAGCGAGUACUCUUAAGCAAGAGCCAACACUGUAGCCAGUGUAAGGCCUUCGGUUCUGUUAUUCCCCUCCCAUGCUGGAUAAGGCAAGCUGUAAAGACAUUCAAAAUGCAGUUCCCUUCCCAUGAAGGGGACACAGCUACCUCAUCAGGACAGUUGGGUGGACAUGGCAGACGCUUUCCUUCUUUCAGAGUAUUCACAAGCCGUGUCACUGUCAUCUGGCCAUGAGUUGGGCCUAUCAUUUUCAGGAACAACUAUGUAAAAUAAAACCAAACAAAAUUAAGGUGAUGCUUUCAGAAGUAAGAAGAAAUUAAAGCAACAAAGCUUUUCUCUUCCAUAACUUCAAAUGAAAAUCUAAAACCCUUAUUUGCGCUCUCAAGGAUUGGUCCAUAACAGCACAUCUGAGGGGACCAACCACAGCUGUCAGUCGUAUGAAAACAAAACCCCUACGGCAAUGCUCAAAGUGUAUCAUUCUCUCUUGUGAUGACCCUCACCCUAAAAACCUGAGUCGUCUUACUGAAUUCUGCACUUGUGAAGGCAAACUUUGCCAGACCAUGUGAGAUAGCAUGCUGUAACCCUCUCCAUGUGGCACACUGACAAGAGGUAGCAGUUAACACUUACGGCCAUGGGACUAAAAUCUGAGUCACAGUAAGUGAGCAGCUCGUGCAGUGUCACUCCAAAAGACCAGACAUCAGAGGCGAUAUAAAAUUUACACUGGAUUAAACAUUCCGGAGCGUACCUGAAAGGAAAGCAGGGAGUGAGCCUUUUGUUCCUCCCAAAAAAAAAAAAAAAGAGUGCCUCAGGAAAGCCACUUCCCUGUUCUUGAGAAUGUAAGUCACGUGCCUCUGAGGGACUCUGGCCAUUCAUGCUGCCACAGUGCACACAGCACACGGGACAGCAGUCCAGAGGCUCACAGCAACAUCUUACUUGCCCUUAAACGAGAUAUCUGUGUUCCUCGUGUCCCAGGGAACAUUCUUUUAGAGAGGGGACAGUCCCCUGAAGAUGAGCCCCAAGUUAUAUCCCUGUAAGCCAGGAGUCAGCACCCUCUCUGGCAUCACUAUUUUGGUGAGUGAUGCCCAAAUGCCCAUACCAGGUGUCUAGGCAUCCCAGAACUGGUUUCCUGAACACUCCUCAGACAAAUCCACUUCCUACUGUCCCAACCUGUCCUUCCUGGGCUACUGAAGCAGCUGACCCCGAUUCCCUUGUUCCUUUCUUGUUCCUCUCCAUGGUGACCUUCAGUACAGACUUUGUGUCCUUCAACUCUGGUCAAGUCCUGAUGCUCUGACUCAGCCACCCCUACAGCACUUCCCAAUGACACACGUGCUUUCAGUUCCCUCUUAUCUCUGUCAGCAGAACAGCAGAGCUCCAGCCAUGCCCCCUUCCCUUCAGCUUUUACCCAAUCACACACAGCCUUUCAAACCCAUGCCUGAAGCCUGUGCCACUGCCACACUAAGUUGGCUGCCUCACCCAUAAUUCAGGAUUCACUGGCACAAUCAAGGGCCUCAAAACCACUCCGUUUUUAAACGAGGAAGGAAGACUCUGGAUAGGCUUUGCUGGUGGAGAGGGCCCCAUGUCUGCAUGAGAGGCAUCAGGGUACACAGGCAGCUUUCCCCAGGAAGGUGUUCCCAACUGAGAGACAAUGAUGGUCAGGGCGUGGCUCGCUAACUACGGUAACUAGUGGUUCCUAAAACCUAGCCAAGUAUCUAUCCCUCUUGCAGGAUCUCCACGACUAUGGCAAUGUGUACCUGUGGCCCUGCGAUCCCUCCAGGGCUUCUACACGGAUGUAUUAAGAACGAGCCAGCCUCUUCCACCUGCUCACAGCUAUGAGAACUGUGGUGGGUGUGGCUUGCUCACAUGAAGCUACAGAGGCUGAAGUGAUGAUGGCCAGACUCUCCCAUUCUCCAAAAGCUCAGAGCAGCUGAUACGCACCCAAGCACAGCUUCAAGAGCCUUCAAGACAAUGCUAAGCUACAAAGCACGGCCGAGCUGGUUUACAUACCAGAACACUGGGCUGUCCCGGUCGUCCUUGACUGUGUAGUACUCCUUAUCGGUUUCAAUUGCUUUGGUUAAACCAAAGUCUCCGAUCUUCACUUGAUGCUCACUCUCAACAAGGACAUUUCUUGCUGCUAAGUCCCGGUGAACGUAUUGCCGAGAACCCAAGUAGUCCAUCCCCUAAGAGAAAAGUGUGGCUCAGGCCCAUUGCGAAGGUAAAUGUGCUGUUGAUAACCCACAGUCCUUCCCCUAAGAGCAGUAGGUCAGACCCACUGAAAAAGUCACUUCAGGUUGUGUUUUUUUUAUCUUCCACAGCACAAUUAGGAAAAAAAGCCAUUUCAUCCCCAUAUCACUAACAGUUUUUGUUAUAAAAUUAAACAAU
rnacentral:lncRNA from 1 species